AUGAACGCUGGCGGCGUGCUUAACACAUGCAAGUCGAACGGGAAUUAUUUUAUUGAAACUUCGGUCGAUUUAAUUUAAUUCUAGUGGCGGACGGGUGAGUAACGCGUGGGUAACCUGCCUUAUACAGGGGGAUAACAGUCAGAAAUGGCUGCUAAUACCGCAUAAGCGCACAGAGCUGCAUGGCUCAGUGUGAAAAACUCCGGUGGUAUAAGAUGGACCCGCGUUGGAUUAGCUUGUUGGCAGGGUAACGGCCUACCAAGGCGACGAUCCAUAGCCGGCCUGAGAGGGUGAACGGCCACAUUGGGACUGAGACACGGCCCAGACUCCUACGGGAGGCAGCAGUGGGGAAUAUUGCACAAUGGGGGAAACCCUGAUGCAGCGACGCCGCGUGAAGGAAGAAGUAUCUCGGUAUGUAAACUUCUAUCAGCAGGGAAGAUAGUGACGGUACCUGACUAAGAAGCCCCGGCUAACUACGUG
rnacentral:rRNA from 1 species